rnacentral:rRNA from 1 species
AACACAUGCAAGUCGAGCGAUGAAGCUUCUCGGAAGUGGAUUAGCGGCGGACGGUGAGUACACGUGGGUAACCUGCCUCAUAGAGGGGAAUAGCCUUCCGAAAGAAGAUUAAUACCGCAUAAGAUUGUAAUAUCGCAUGAUAUAGCAAUUAAAGGAGUAAUCCGCUAUGAGAUGGACCCGCGUCGCAUUAGCUAGUUGGUGAGGUAACGGCUCACCAAGGCGACGAUGCGUAGCCGACCUGAGAGGGUGAUCGGCCACAUUGGGACUGAGACACGGCCCAGACUCCUACGGGAGGCAGCAGUGGGGAAUAUUGCACAAUGGGGGAAACCCUGAUGCAGCCAACGCCGCGUGAGUGAUGACGGUCUUCGGAUUGUAAAGCUCUGUCUUCAGGGACGAUAAUGACGGUACCUGAGGAGGAAGCCACGGCUAACUACGUGCCAGCAGCGGC